rnacentral:rRNA from 1 species
UACCAGCACCCCGAGUGGUCGGGACGAUUAUUGGGCCUAAAGCAUCCGUAGCCGGUUCUACAAGUCUUCCGUUAAAUCCACCUGCUUAACAGAUGGGCUGCGGAGGAUACUAUAGAGCUAGGAGGCGGGAGAGGCAAGCGGUACUUAGUGGGUAGGGGUAAAAUCCGUUGAUCCAUUGAAGACCACCAGUGGCGAAGGGCGGCUUGCCAGAACGCACUCGACGGUGAGGGA